rnacentral:lncRNA from 1 species
GAGGAGGAGCCCAUCCUGAUGAGUUUGCAGCCCCUAUUCCAGGUUUCCAUGAGGCCAAUUAUCCUUCAGCAUCUUGGGUAAGAGGUCUGGGGUGAGGUUGAGCAGAUACAGAAAGUCGGAACGGAUUCGUGUAGAGCAGGUGAACGAGGCCAUGUGGGAGAGGGAGACAGCCUGGAGAGGGACUAGAAAGGACUCUGGAAAAGAAUGGGAAAUCCAGACCCAGAGGAUCUAUUGCUAGAUUUGCACAUGCUCCUCCAGACAGCUCACUGUAGAACGGCUCCCCAUUCCUUUUCAAUCUGCCCUACUAAAGAUCCC